rnacentral:rRNA from 1 species
UGACUNGAGUGCAGAAGGGGAGAGUGGAAUUCCAUGUGUAGCGGUGAAAUGCGUAGAUAUAUGGAGGAACACCAGUGGCGAAAGCGGCUCUCUGGUCUGUCACUGACGCUGAGGCUCGAAAGCGUGGGUAGCGAACAGGAUUAGAUACCCUGGUAGUNCACGCCGUAAACGAUGAGUGCUAGGUGUUAGGCCCNUUCCGGGGCUUAGUGCCGGAGCUAACGCAAUAAGCACUCCGCCUGGGGAGUACGACCGCAAGGUUGAAACUCAAAGGAAUUGACGGGGGCCCGCACAAGCGGUGGAGCAUGUGGUUUAAUUCGAAGCAACGCGAAGAACCUUACCAGGUCUUGACAUCCCGAUGCUAUUCUUAGAGAUAGGAAGUUACUUCGGUACAUCGGAGACAGGUGGUGCAUGGUUGUCGUCAGCUCGUGUCGUGAGAUGUUGGGUUAAGUCCCGCAACGAGCGCAACCCUUAUUGUUAGUUGCCAUCAUUAAGUUGGGCACUCUAGCGAGACUGCCGGUAAUAAACCGGAGGAAGGUGGGGAUGACGUCAAAUCAUCAUGCCCCUUAUGACCUGGGCUACACACGUGCUACAAUGGUCGGUACAACGAGUUGCGAGCCGGUGACGGCAAGCUAAUCUCUGAAAGCCGAUCUCAGUUCGGAUUGGAGGCUGGAACUCGCCUCCAUGAAGUCGGAAUCGCUAGUAAUCGCGGAUCAGCACGCCGCGGUGAAUACGUUCCCGGGCCUUGUACACACCGCCCGUCACACCACGAGAGUUUGUAACACCCGAAGUCGGUGAGGUAACCUUUUAGGGGCCAGCCGCCUAAGGUGGGANGGAUG